rnacentral:rRNA from 1 species
UCCUACGGGAGGCAGCAGUAGGGAGUAUUCGGCAAUGGGGGGAACCCUGACCGAGCAACGCCGCGUGAAUGAUGACGGCCUUCGGGUUGUAAAAUUCUGUGGCGAGGAACGAAUGGCAAGGAGAGGAAAUGCUCUUUGUUUGACGGUACCUCGCUAGAAAGCCACGGCUAACUACGUGCCAGCAGCCGCGGUAAUACGUAGGUGGCAAGCGUUAUCCGGAAUUAUUGGGCGUAAAGAGUGAGCAGGCGGUUUUUUAAGUCUGAAGUCAAAUCCUGUGGCUCAACCACAGUUCGCUUUGGAAACUGAAGAACUAGAGUGCGGGAGAGGUAAGCGGAAUUCCAUAUGUAGCGGUGAAAUGCACAGAUAUAUGGAGGAACACCGGUGGCGAAGGCGGCUUACCAGCCCGAUACUGACGCUCAGUCACGAAAGCGUGGGGAGCAAAUAGGCUUAGAUACCCUAGUAGUCCACGCCGUAAACGUUGAGGACCUGAUGCCGGAGUAUUUCGGUGUCGUAGCUAACGCGUUAAGUCCUCCGCCUGGGUACUACGUUCGCAAGAAUAAAACUUAAAGGAAUUGACGGGGGCCCGCACAAGCAGUGGAGCAUGUGGUUUAAUUCGUCGCUACGCGAAAAACCUUACCAGGGUUUGACAUCCCGCUAAAAGUCUUGGAAACAAGAUCAUAGUUAUAGCGGUGAAAGGUGGUGCAUGGUUGUCGUCAGCUCGUGUCGUGAGAUGUUGGGUUAAGUCCCCUAACGAGCGCAACCCUUGUCUCUAUUUGCCAUCAUUAAGUUGGGAACUAUAGAGAGACUGCCGGUGCAAACCGGAGGAAGAUGGGGAUGACGUCAAAUCAUCAUGCCCCUUAUGCCCUGGGCCACACACGUGCUACAAUGGCCGGUACAGAGAGAAGCAAUCCCGUGAGGAGGAGCAAAUCUCACAAAGCCGGUCUCAGUUCGGAUUGGAGUCUGCAACUCGACUCCAUGAAGCUGGAAUUGCUAGUAAUCGCAGAUCAGCAUUGCUGCGGUGAAUACGUUCCCGGGCCUUGUACACACUGCCCGUCACACCAUGAGAGUCGGCAAUACUCGAAGUCGUUAUCUUAACCCGCAAGGGAGGGAGGCGCCUAAGGUAGGGCUGAUGAUUGGGGUUAAGUCGUAACAAGGUAUCCCUACGGGAACGUGGGGAUG